rnacentral:rRNA from 1 species
AUUGAACGCUGGCGGCAGGCCUAACACAUGCAAGUCGAAUGGUAACAGGAAACAGCUUGCUGUUUCGCUGACGAGUGGCGGACGGGUGAGUAAUGUCUGGGAAACUGCCUGAUGGAGGGGGAUAACUACUGGAAACGGUAGCUAAUACCGCAUAACGUCGCAAGACCAAAGAGGGGGACCUUCGGGCCUCUUGCCAUCAGAUGUGCCCAGAUGGGAUUAGCUAGUAGGUGGGGUAACGGCUCACCUAGGCGACGAUCCCUAGCUGGCCUGAGAGGAUGACCAGCCACACUGGAACUGAGACACGGUCCAGACUCCUACGGGAGGCAGCAGUGGGGAAUAUUGCACAAUGGGCGCAAGCCUGAUGCAGCCAUGCCGCGUGUAUGAAGAAGGCCUUCGGGUUGUAAAGUACUUUCAGCGGGGAGGAAGGGAGUAAAGUUAAUACCUUUGCUCAUUGACGUUACCCGCAGAAGAAGCACCGGCUAACUCCGUG